rnacentral:rRNA from 1 species
CCCAAUGGUACGGAAUAGCCUCUGGAAACGGAGAGUAAUACCGUAUGUGCCCUUCGGGGGAAAGAUUUAUCGCCUUUGGAUUAGCCCGCGUUAGAUUAGGUAGUUGGUGGGGUAAUGGCCUACCAAGCCUACGAUCUAUAGCUGGUUUUAGAGGAUGAUCAGCAACACUGGGACUGAGACACGGCCCAGACUCCUACGGGAGGCAGCAGUGGGGAAUCUUGGACAAUGGGGGCAACCCUGAUCCAGCCAUGCCGCGUGAGUGAUGAAGGCCUUAGGGUCGUAAAGCUCUUUCGCCUGUGAAGAUAAUGACGGUAGCAGGUAAAGAAACCCCGGCUAACUCCGUGCCAGCAGCCGCGGUAAUACGGAGGGGGUUAGCGUUGUUCGGAAUUACUGGGCGUAAAGCGCACGUAGGCGGAUCGGAAAGUUGGGGGUGAAAUCCCGGGGCUCAACCCCGGAACUGCCUCCAAAACUAUCGGUCUAGAGUUCGAGAGAGGUGAGUGGAAUUCCGAGUGUAGAGGUGAAAUUCGUAGAUAUUCGGAGGAACACCAGUGGCGAAGGCGGCUCACUGGCUCGAUACUGACGCUGAGGUGCGAAAGUGUGGGGAGCAAACAGGAUUAGAUACCCUGGUAGUCCACACCGUAUACGAUGAAUGCCAGUCGUCGGGUAGCAUGCUAUUCGGUGACACACCUAACGGAUUAA